GACGAACGCUGGCGGCGUGCUUAACACAUGCAAGUCGAGCGGUAAGGCCCUUUCGGGGGUACACGAGCGGCGAACGGGUGAGUAACACGUGGGUGACCUGCCUCUAGCUCUGGGAUAAGCCCGGGAAACUGGGUCUAAUACUGGAUAUGACUCCAUGACGCAUGUUGUGGGGUGGAAAGCCUUGUGCGGCUAGAGAUGGGCCCGCGGCCUAUCAGCUUGUUGGGGGUGAUGGCCUACCAAGGCGACGACGGGUAGCCGGCCUGAGAGGGCGACCGGCCACACUGGACUGAGACACGGCCCAGACUCCUACGGGAGGCAGCA
rnacentral:rRNA from 1 species